rnacentral:tRNA from 1 species
AGGGAGUUAGCUUAAUUGGUGAAAGCAGGAGUCUUAUACACUCAAGACUAAGGGUUCAAGUCCCUUACUCCCUA